GAUCCUGGCUCAGGAUAAACGCUAGCGGCAGGCCUAACACAUGCAAGUCGAGGGGCAUCGGAUAGAGUACUUCGGUACUCUUGCCGGCGACCGGCGGACGGGUGCGUAACGCGUAUGCAACCUACCUUCAACAGGGGGAUAAUCCGAAGAAAUUUGGUCUAAUACCCCAUAAUAUUCCGACAGGCAUCUGUCGGAGUUGAAAGCUUCGGUGGUUGGAGAUGGGCAUGCGUUGUAUUAGCUAGAUGGUG
rnacentral:rRNA from 1 species